rnacentral:rRNA from 1 species
AACGAACGCUGGCGGCAUGCCUAACACAUGCAAGUCGAACGAGACCUUCGGGUCUAGUGGCGCACGGGUGCGUAACGCGUGGGAACCUGCCCUUAGGUUCGGAAUAACUCCCCGAAAGGGGUGCUAAUACCGGAUAAUGUCUUCGGACCAAAGAUUUAUCGCCUUUGGAUGGGCCCGCGUUGGAUUAGCUAGUUGGUAGGGUAAAAGCCUACCAAGGCGACGAUCCAUAGCUGGUCUGAGAGGAUGAUCAGCCACACUGGGACUGAGACACGGCCCAGACUCCUACGGGGGGGAGCAGGGGGGAAUAUGGGAAAAUGGGCGAAAGCCUGAUCCAGCAAUGCCGGGGGGGUGAUGAAGGCCUUAGGGUUGUAAAGCUUUUUUACCCGGGAUGAUAAGGACAGUACCGGGAAAAAAAGCCCCGGCUAACUCCGU